rnacentral:rRNA from 1 species
UGGGGAAUAUUGGACAAUGGGCGCAAGCCUGAUCCAGCAACGCCGCGUGGAGGACGAAGGUCUUCGGAUCGUAAACUCCUGUCAGAUGGGACGAAGAGUCGGCGGGAAAUACUCGCCGGCUUUGACGGUACCGUCAGAGGAAGCCCCGGCUAACUCCGUGCCAGCAGCCGCGGUAAUACGGAGGGGGCGAGCGUUAUUCGGAAUUAUUGGGCGUAAAGGGCGCGUAGGCGGCUUGGUAAGUCAAAGGUGAAAUCCCUCGGCUCAACUGAGGAAUUGCCUUUGAAACUGCCUGGCUCGAGGCCGGGAGGGGGUAGCGGAAUUCCCAGUGUAGCGGUGAAAUGCGUAGAUAUUGGGAGGAACACCGGUGGCGAAGGCGGCUACCUGGACCGGUUCUGACGCUGAUGCGCGAAAGCGUGGGGAGCAAACAG